GCUGCGGUGGGAGGCAGUUGAGCCCUGGAUUGUGACCGCAUCAGGGCAGUUGGUAGAGGCCCCUCUGGGAGAGAUUCCCAGGGGUAACAGCCAUGGACGAAGGGCCUGGGCUAGGGACAGGGACCAGAGCCAGUCCAGGGAGAGGACAGAGCCAACAGACUGGGGCGCACUGUAACAGCCCUGCUGGCGAGAGGGACCUGGGCAAGGCCUUCCAGGGAGCCCAUGCUGCAAAUCGGGUCAGAGGUGCCCCUGACCCUGAGGGCCAAUGAGACCCAAGACAGACCAAGUGGGUCGUGAGACCCCUGAGGAGCUGGGUCCUCGUCCCAGGCAGUGCUGGCCCCUGCUGCUGCUGGGUCUGGCCAUGGUCGCCCAUGGCCUGCUGCACCCAAUGGCUGCACCGCAGAGCAGGGACCCAGACCCUGGAGCCUCAGUUGGAAGCAGCCGAUCCAGCCUACAGAGCCUGUGGGGCAGGUCAGCCCAAGGCUUCCCCCACGGUCACUCUGUUCCCGCCCUCCUCUGAGGAGCUCCAAGCAAACAAGGCCACACUAGUGUGUCUGAUCAGUGACUUCUACCCGGGAGUCGUGAAAGUGGCCUGGAAGGCAGAUGGCAGCGCUGUCAAUGCGGGAGUGGAGACCACCACGCCCUCCAAACAGAGCAACAACAAGUAUGCAGCCAGCAGCUACCUGAGCCUGACGUCCGACCAGUGGAAGUCCCACAAGAGCUACAGCUGCCAGGUCACGCACGAAGGGAGCACUGUGGAGAAGACAGUGGCCCCUGCAGAAUGUUCAUAGGUUCCCACCCCGACCCCACCCACGGGGGCCUGGAGCUGCAGGAUCCCAGGGGAGGGGUCUCUCUCUCUCCAUCACAAGGCAUCAAGCCCUUCUCCCUGCACUCAUGAAUCCCUUAAUAAAUAUUCUCAUUGACAAUCAGAAA